AGAUUGUAUAGAAUAACAGGAAGUUUCUUAUUUUCCCCAGUUACAAGCUUUUCCCAAUAACUUAUAGUACGUAAUUUAAUAAAAAUAUCCAACGGGAAUCGGCCAAGUUCCCCAUAUAUCAUAAAAUCAGGCGUGGACUUUUUAAGAUUAAGCAGUAAUUUACAAAAUUUUAGAUGAACACGUUCUAUAACAGAGGUGUUACCCAUUCCCCAGACUUCACACCCGU
rnacentral:lncRNA from 1 species